rnacentral:rRNA from 1 species
UUCUAGUGAUUGGAAUGAUGGGAAUCCAAACCCCUUUCAGAGUAACAAUUGGAGGGCAAGUCUGGUGCCAGCAGCCGCGGUAAUUCCAGCUCCAAUAGCGUAUAUUAAAGUUGUUGCAGUUAAAAAGCUCGUAGUUGGAUAUCUGCUGGAAGCAGCCAGUCCGCCCUUUGUGGGUGUGCACUUGGUGAAUUCUGGCAUCCUCCUGAUUGGUGUUAUCAUCACUUCAUUGUGUUGAUGGCAGCUGUCAGGACCGUUACUUUGAGAAAAUUAGAGUGUUUCAAGCAGGCUUGUUGCCUUGAAUACUGCAGCAUGGAAUAACAAGAUAGGAUUUCGGUUCUAUUUUGUUGGUUUCUAGGACUGAAGUAAUGAUUAAUAGGGACAGUUGGGGGCAUUCGUAUUUAACUGUCAGAGGUGAAAUUCUUAGAUUUGUUAAAGACGAACUACUGCGAAAGCAUU